rnacentral:rRNA from 1 species
GAGACACGCUGGCGGCGUGCUUCAUACAUGCAAGUCGAACGAGAAUCGGUAGCUUGCUACCGAGGAAAGUGGCGGACGGGUGAGUAAAAUGUAGAGAAUCUGCCCUUUAGCGGGGGACAACAGAGGGAAACUUCUGCUAAUACCCCCAUAUGCGCGUAGUUGAGAUACUAUUCGUGAAAAUUCCGGUGCUAAAGGAUGAGUCUGCAUCUGAUUAGCUAGUUGGCGGUGUAAUGGACCACCAAGGCGACGAUCAGUAGCUGGUUUGAGAGGAUGAUCAGCCACAAUGGGACUGAGACACGGCCCAUACUCCUACGGGAGGCAGCAGUAGGGAAUUUUGCGCAAUGGGGGAAACCCUGAACCGCAGCAACACCGCGUGAAUGUUAAGCCCUUCGGGGUGUAAAGUUCUGUCAGUAGGGAAGAACAAAUGACUGUACCUACAAAGGAAGCACCGGCUAACUCCGUGCCAGCCGCAGC